rnacentral:rRNA from 1 species
AACGUAGGAGGCAAGCGUUAUCCGGAUUCACUGGGCGUAAAGCGCGUGCAGGCGGUUCGGUAAGUUGGGCGUGAAAUCUCCUGGCUCAACUAGGAGAGGUCGUUCAAUACUACCGGGCUAGAGAGUGGUAGAGGAAGAUGGAAUUCCCGGUGUAGCGGUGAAAUGCGUAGAGAUCGGGAAGAACACCGAUGGCGAAGGCAGCCCCCUGGGUCAAGAUUGACGCUCAUGCACGAAAGCGUGGGGAGCAAACAGG